GAUCAUGGCUCAGGAUGAACGCUGGCGGCGUGCAUAACACAUCAAGUCGAACGGGCAGUAUUCCUUCGGGGGUGCUGCUAGUGGCGGACGGGUGAGUAACGCGUGAGCAACCUGCCUCUGUGAGUGGAAUAACACAGGGAAACUUGUGCUAAUACCGCAUGACGAAGCGAAGCCGCAUGACUUUGCUUCCAAAGAUUUAUCGCACAGAGAUGGGCUCGCGUCCGAUUAGGCAGUUGGUGAGGUAACGGCUCACCAAACCGACGAUCGGUAGCCGGACUGAGAGGUUGAACGGCCACAUUGGAACUGAGAUACGGUCCAGACUCCUACGGGAGGCAGCAGUGGGGAAUAUUGGGCAAUGGGCGCAAGCCUGACCCAGCGACGCCGCGUGAGGGAAGAAGGUCUUCGGAUUGUAAACCUCUUUGACAGGGGACGAAGUAAGUGACGGCACCCUGAAAACAAGCCACGGCUAACUACGUGCCAGCCGCGGC
rnacentral:rRNA from 1 species